CGACUCACCACGACUCACUAGCUCACACUUCAGUCUCACACGCCAUCUUCUAUUAUAUCAUUUUAUUUGUUUUUUUUUACGUUUUAAUAAUUUAUAUAAAAGUAUCCAAUAUAAAAUAAUUGACCAAAAUAUUUUAUCUUUCUUCAUUUAAUACUUAAAAUUUUUUACAAUUUCCUAUAAAAAAAUCAAUAUAUGCUGCUCGCUUUUCGAGAACUACAAGCUGCUUUUCUCGCUCCUGCUAUCUGUGAACCACUAUGAACUUGCUGAACAAGCAGAGUCAGCUCUUGAUGAUGUUCCUGAUGACGGGCGGCGUCGGCCUCGAAAAUUCCU